ACAACAAAUCCCAGUCUCCUCC
rnacentral:miRNA from 10 species